UUCUAAAUAAAAGAUUUACAGACAACUCAGAAGAAGAUUUCCAGGCAAUUUCUAAAUGCAAGAUUUACAGACAACUCAGAAGAAGAUUUACAGACGACUUUUAACUGGAAUAUUUUCAGGCAAUUUCUAAAUGAAAGAUUUACACACAAUGUUAGGAGAAGAUUUAGUACAGACGGCUAGGCAUUUCCUAAAUGAAAGAUUUACAGACAACUAAAUGGAAUGCUGCAAGAAGAUUUAGAGACCACUCCUAAACUAAAUGGAAUGCUACGGGAAGAUUUAGCGCUGCAUCCAUUUGCUGGUAACGGAUUAUUUAUUAACCGAUACGUUAUAUUUUGCGACAGCUUUUACGCCAGAAAACAAAAAAUCUUUGAGGCAGUUGAAACAUUCCUCAUUUCCCGCCUGAAACAAAUUUUAAAGUCGCAACUAAUAUUUUCCUGCAAACUCUGCUCAUUUUUUCUCAUCGGAAUCGUUGGCAGCAAGACGAAAUAUGUGCAAAUCUUGAGAUUAAAUCAUGUAGCUGGACGGGAUACUAAAGUGUUCUUCCACCGACAUUCAGAUUCUAUAGAGAGUUUUUAUCUGCCCUAACUUCCAAGGUCAGAAGUGGAGUUCAUUAUAUCUUUACAGAGAUUGAAAGGUUCGCAAAUAGCAAUAGCCUAAAUUCACUUGCAUUACCGAGCAUAGACUAUGGAGUGCACUACUUAUGAUGAGGAUAACACUUUAAGGCAGAAGAAAGGUCAGAUCCAUGGGCUCCUGAAGAGGACCUUUUACUCAUUAAAUACAUACAAGCUCACGGUGAAGGACAGUGGCGUACAUUGCCCCUUAAAGCAGGUUUGCGACGUUGUGCGAAAGGCUGCAGAUUCGGCUGGAUGAACUUUCUGCGUCCAAAUGUAAAAUGGGGAAACAUAUCUUUGGACGAGGAAGAUUUCAUUAUUAAAAUGCAUGAGCUCCCUGGCAAUAGGUAUAAAAUAGCUGGUUUAAGUUUGUUGGAUUUGUUUUGUAUUUUUUUUAUUGACAUUUUGAAUUGCA